rnacentral:rRNA from 1 species
GACGUAGAGGGCGAGCGUUGUCCGGAUUUAUUGGGCGUAAAGAGCGUGUAGGCGGCCAAACAGGUCCGUUGUGAAAACUGGAGGCUCAACCUCCAGACGUCGACGGAAACCGUAUGGCUAGAGUCCGGAAGAGGAGAGUGGAAUUCCUGGUGUAGCGGUGAAAUGCGCAGAUAUCAGGAAGAACACCAAUGGCGAAGGCAGCUCUCUGGGACGGUACUGACACUGAGGAGCGAAAGCGUGGGGAGCGAUCCGG